rnacentral:rRNA from 1 species
UACGUAGGGUGCGAGCGUUAAUCGGAAUUACUGGGCGUAAAGCGUGCGCAGGCGGUUUUGUAAGCCAGAUGUGAAAUCCCCGGGCUUAACCUGGGAAUGGCAUUUGGGACUGCAAGGCUGGAGUUUGGCAGAGGAGACUGGAAUUCCUGGUGUAGCAGUGAAAUGCGUAGAUAUCAAGAGGAACACCAGUGGCGAAGGCGAGUCCCUGGACAACACCUGACACUGAGGCACGAAAGCCGGGGGAGCAAACAGG